UUCAUCUAAUUGUAACCAAGUUGUGAUCAAGCAUUCUGUUGACUAUAUUAAUUUUUGAUUUAGAAGUGGCGUUGGCAGAAAAAUUUGAUUGGAGCCUGCUAUAGUUCACGGGCAAUAUGCCUAAUGUACAUGAUAUGCUUUACUAACUAUUCCAUCAUGAGAGUUGACAGAUUUGAUUCGGGUCUGCUAUAGUUCACGGGACGUAUGGCUAAUGUACAUGUUAUGCUUUACAAACUAUUCCAUCAUGAGAGUCACAUAGACUAUGUUACUUCAAAUCCUUGUUCAUAAUUUAUGUUGUGCUAGGUUUGUGUGGGGCUGAAAUCAAGGUCCGCAAUCUCGGUACCGGGUACCAUAUUGAUAUCUUAUAAUAUGGUACACCUCCGUACCGAACUAGCUAUCUAACCAUUUUUUUCAAUUUUUAUUUUAGUACAGACUGGUACGCACCUUGGUCUGCCUCGGUACAGGGCGGUACACCUCAGUAUAGAGUGGUACGUCUUGGUACAGACGGUACAAGACUUGUACCGACUUGAAGAAAUGUUUUGUACCGAUUUUUUUUGGUACGGUACAGUAAGCCUUGUAU
rnacentral:lncRNA from 1 species